GUGCCAGCAGCCGCGGUAAUACGUAGGUGGCAAGCGUUGUCCGGAUUUACUGGGCGUAAAGGAUGUGCAGGCGGUUAUUUAAGUGAGAUGUGAAAUCCCCGGGCUUAACCUGGGGGCUGCAUUUCAAACUGGAUGUCUUGAGUGCAGGAGAGGAAAGCAGAAUUCCUAGUGUAGCGGUGAAAGGCGUAGAGAUUAGGAGGAAUACCAGUGGCGAAGGCGACUUUCUGGACUGUAACUGACGCUGAGGCAUGAAAGCGUGGGGAGCAAACAGGAUUAGAUACCCUGGUAGUCCACGCCGUAAACGAUGAGUACUAAGUGUUGGGGGGAU
rnacentral:rRNA from 1 species